UGCAUGGUCGUCGUCAGCUCGUGCCGUGAGGUGUUGGGUUAAGUCCCGCAACGAGCGCAACCCCCGCCGUUAGUUGCCAGCGGUUCGGCCGGGCACUCUAACGGGACUGCCCGCGAAAGCGGGAGGAAGGAGGGGACGACGUCUGGUCAGCAUGGCCCUUACGGCCUGGGCGACACACGUGCUACAAUGCCCACUACAAAGCGAUGCCACCCGGCAACGGGGAGCUAAUCGCAAAAAGGUGGGCCCAGUUCGGAUUGGGGUCUGCAACCCGACCCCAUGAAGCCGGAAUCGCUAGUAAUCGCGGAUCAGCCAUGCCGCGGUGAAUACGUUCCCGGGCCUU
rnacentral:rRNA from 1 species